rnacentral:rRNA from 1 species
GACGAACGCUGGCGGCGUGCUUAACACAUGCAAGUCGAACGGAAAGGCUCUGCUUGCAGGGUACUCGAGUGGCGAACGGGUGAGUAACACGUGGGUGAUCUGCCCUGCACUUCGGGAUAAGCCUGGGAAACUGGGUCUAAUACCGGAUAGGAGCCAUUUUUAGUGUGAUGGUUGGAAAGUUUUUUUCGGUGUAGGAUGAGCUCGCGGCCUAUCAGCUUGUUGGUGGGGUAAUGGCCUACCAAGGCGGCGACGGGUAGCCGGCCUGAGAGGGUGGACGGCCACAUUGGGACUGAGAUACGGCCCAGACUCCUACGGGAGGCAGCAGUGGAGAAUAUUGCACAAGGGGCGCAAGCCUGAUGCAGCGACGCCGCGUGGGGGAUGACGGCCUUCGGGUUGUAAACUCCUUUCGCUAGGGACGAAGCUGUUUGUGACGGUACCUAGAGAAGAAGCACCGGCUAACUACGGG